rnacentral:tRNA from 1 species
GAUUGUUUUCUAAAAGUCU